rfam:Oryza sativa (indica cultivar-group) chromosome 1, whole genome shotgun sequence.
GCGGCAAUGAUGAGAAUGCAAUUCUAUGAUGUACUUUGAUUUUUCUAUGAUGUACUUUAAUUCUAUGAUACUCUGAGCCAU